rnacentral:lncRNA from 1 species
UUGGACCGAGCCUUGACCUUGGCCCAACAAAUCUCAGUCCAAUUGAGAUUUGUUCUUGCACUGGACUGGGCUUCACUUGACUGAACGGGCCUUGAAUGGGCUGUCCUCGCGGGUCUCUAAUUUUGCUGGGCUGCAGAGCUGAAUUCGCUGGGCCUGACUUACGGCCCAAAUGGACUGAAUCUGAGCGGCCCAAGAUAUUUAAAAUUUGCUGGGCUGAUGCUGCUGAAGAUGGACCGAGCAAUUAAACUGAAGGUGGACUGAAGACUUUUGGCUUCGCUGGGCUGUAGAGUUGGGCCGCAAUCCACGAAGAGAAAUUUGCGUGGGCUGCUUCGGUCUUCGCUGGAGGGUGCUGUGACUUCAGCCAGUCAAUUGCUUCGGCAACUGAGCUACACGAAGGAGAAAUGGAGGUGACGUGAACGAGGCAGCAAGCGGGGGAUUCAAUGAAGUCAACAGUGGAGGAAAAUCUUGCAUGAGCUGCAGGGGGUUUGCUCGGUUGACUCAGAAUUGGAAGGAGCGGACGCGUAGAGAUCUCUUAUUCUUCGGUGGGUUGUUGUUCAUGCGGAUGGAUGGACGAAGAACCGUGGAGAUGUCCGCUUGAAUUUCUUGCCGUGUGGAGAGGAGGACACCGAUUGUUGGCUUACGGCCAAAUGGCAGCAACAAAGAAGAAACUGCUUCGGUGGAGGCUUUGCUCGGUGGAGUUUCGGUCUUCAAGGCUUUGUGAAUGCCGCCAGUCAACCACCAAGGCCAGCGAGAGGAGUUUUGACCGAAGGAGACCAACGGUAGUGGGGCUGGCGUGUGGCUGGUAGAAUCGGUGAAGUAGAGGAACGUGGGCUUCAAUUUUCAAAGGAAAGAGCUGCCGGUCUUCAACAUCAGCUAUUCAAUGAGGUGUCGCACGAAAAUGAAAAGGGAAGGGAGAGUCUGAUCGGUUGAGGAGGUGAGGGGAAAGAGAUGGAUAGAGAUGAGUGAGAGUUGGGCUCCACUUGGUUGGAU